UACGAAGGGGGCUAGCGUUGCUCGGAAUUACUGGGCGUAAAGCGCACGUAGGCGGUCUUUUAAGUCGGGGGUGAAAUCCUGGAGCUCAACUCCAGAACUGCCUUCGAUACUGGAAGACUUGAGUCCGGGAGAGGUGAGUGGAACUGCGAGUGUAGGGGUGAAAUUCGUAGAUAUUCGCAAGAACACCAGUGGCGAAGGCGGCUCACUGGCCCGGUACUGACGCUGAGGUGCGAAAGCGUGGGGAGCAAACAGG
rnacentral:rRNA from 1 species